GGUUAAGCGACUAAGCGUACACGGUGGAUGCCCUGGCAGUCAGAGGCGAUGAAGGACGUGCUAAUCUGCGAAAAGCGUCGGUAAGGUGAUAUGAACCGUUAUAACCGGCGAUGUCCGAAUGGGGAAACCCAGUGCAAUUCGUUGCACUAUCGUUAACUGAAUACAUAGGUUAACGAGGCGAACCGGGGGAACUGAAACAUCUAAGUACCCCGAGGAAAAGAAAUCAACCGAGAUUCCCCCAGUAGCGGCGAGCGAACGGGGAGCAGCCCAGAGUCUGAAUCAGCUUGUGUGUUAGUGGAACGGUCUGGAAAGUCCGACGGUACAGGGUGAUAGUCCCGUACACCAAAAUGCACAGGCUGUGAACUCGAAGAGUAGGGCGGGACACGUGGUAUCCUGUCUGAAUAUGGGGGGACCAUCCUCCAAGGCUAAAUACUCCUGACUGACCGAUAGUGAACCAGUACCGUGAGGGAAAGGCGAAAAGAACCCCGGCGAGGGGAGUGAAAAAGAACCUGAAACCGUGUACGUACAAGCAGUGGGAGCACCUUCGGGUGUGACUGCGUACCUUUUGUAUAAUGGGUCAGCGACUUAUAUUCUGUAGCAAGGUUAACCGUAUAGGGGAGCCGCAGGGAAACCGAGUCUUAACUGGGCGUUAAGUUGCAGGGUAUAGACCCGAAACCCGGUGAUCUAGCCAUGGGCAGGUUGAAGGUUGGGUAACACUAACUGGAGGACCGAACCGACUAAUGUUGAAAAAUUAGCGGAUGACUUGUGGCUGGGGGUGAAAGGCCAAUCAAACCGGGAGAUAGCUGGUUCUCCCCGAAAGCUAUUUAGGUAGCGCCUCGUGAAUUCAUCUUCGGGGGUAGAGCACUGUUUCGGCUAGGGGGUCAUCCCGACUUACCAACCGAUGCAAACUACGAAUACCGAAGAAUGUUAUCACGGGAGACACACGGCGGGUGCUAACGUCCGUCGUGAAGAGGGAAACAACCCAGACCGCCAGCUAAGGUCCCAAAGUCAUGGUUAAGUGGGAAACGAUGUGGGAAGGCACAGACAGCCAGGAUGUUGGCUUAGAAGCAGCCAUCAUUUAAAGAAAGCGUAAUAGCUCACUGGUCGAGUCGGCCUGCGCGGAAGAUGUAACGGGGCUAAACCAUGCACCGAAGCUGCGGCAGCGACACUAUGUGUUGUUGGGUAGGGGAGCGUUCUGUAAGCCUGCGAAGG
rnacentral:ncRNA from 1 species